GCACCUUCCAGUACGGUGGAAAUGACCAAGCUGGAGUAUGGUAGGGGCAUAGGGAAUUUCUAAUAGAGCAGUGAAAUGCAUAGAGAUCGGAAAGAAUACUAACAGUGAAAGCACUCUGUUAGGCCGAUACUGACAUUGAGAGAUGAAAGCUAGGGGAGCGAAUAGGAUUAGAUACCCCAGUAGUCCUAGCUGUAAAUGAUGGAUAUUGGGCGCUAUGUGUAUCGACCCGUGCAGUGCUGUAGCUAACGCGUUAAGUAUCCC
rnacentral:ncRNA from 1 species